UACGUAGGGUGCAAGCGUUACUCGGAAUUACUGGGCGUAAAGCGUGCGCAGGCGGUUAUGCUAGACAGAUGGGAAAUCCCCGGGCUCAACCUGGGAACUGCAUUUGUGACUGCAUGGCUAGAGUACGGUAGAGGGGGAUGGAAUUCCGCGUGUAGCAGUGAAAUGCGUAGAUAUGCGGAGGAACACCGAUGGCGAAGGCAAUCCCCUGGACCUGUACUGACGCUCAUGCACGAAAGCGUGGGGAGCAAACAGG
rnacentral:rRNA from 1 species